rnacentral:rRNA from 1 species
AGCGAACGUUAGCGGCGCGCCUAACACAUGCAAGUCGCACGAGAAGGGGAGCAAUCCCCGGUACAGUGGCGCACGGGUGAGUAACACGUAGAUGACCUUCCCUGGAGUGGUGGAUAACCUGCCGAAAGGCGGGCUAAUACAGCAUGGGACCACAUGGUUUUGACCGAGUGGUGAAAGCGGGCCUCUGUUCACAAGCUCGCGCUCUGGGAUGAGUCUGCGUCCCAUCAGCUAGUUGGUGAGGUAAUGGCUCACCAAGGGCAUCGACGGGUAGCUGGUCUGAGAGGAUGACCAGCCACACUGGAACUGAGACACGGUCCAGACUCCUACGGGAGCAGCAGUGGGAAUCUUGCGCAAUGGGCGAAAGCCUGACGCAGCGACGCCGCGUGGGUGAUGAAGGCCUCGGUGUAAGACCUGUGGGAGGACGAACGUACGGGGCGAACGA